rnacentral:rRNA from 1 species
AUUGAACGCUGGCGGCAGGCCUAACACAUGCAAUUCGAACGAGUGGCGGACGGGUGAGUAAUUUCUGGGAAACUGCCUGAUGGAGUGGGCUAACUACUGGAAACGGUCGCUAAUACCGCAUACCAUCAGAUGUGCCCAGAUGGGAUUAGCUUGUUGGUGGGGUAACGGCUCACCAAGGCGACGAUCCCUAGCUGGUCUGAGAGGAUGCCCAGCCACACUGGAACUGGGACACGGUCCAGACUCCGACGGGAGGCAGCAGUGGGGAAUAUUGCACAAGGGGCGCAAGCCGGAUGCAGCCAUGCCGCGGGUAUGAAGAAGGCCGUCGGGUUGUAAAGGACUUUCAGCGGGGAGGCGUUACCCGCAGAAGAAGCACCGGCUAACUCCGUGCCAGCAGCCGCGGUAAUUC